rnacentral:rRNA from 1 species
UACGUAGGGGGCCAGCGUUGUCCGGAAUCAUUGGGCGUAAAGCGCGCGUAGGCGGCCAGAUAAGUCCGGUGUGAAAUCUCCCGGCUCAACUGGGAGGGUGCGCCGAAUACUGAAUGACUUCGAGUGCGGGAGAGGAAAGUGGAAUUCCUGGUGUAGCGGUGAAAUGCGUAGAUAUCAGGAGGAACACCGGUGGUGUAGACGGCUUUCUGGACCGUAACUGACGCUGAGACACGAAAGCGUGGGUAGCAAACGGG